UCGAGUUAGGGACCGUUUGGGCCCGACCUCCAACCCUGUGUCUACCUUACCACGUUGCUUCGGCGGGCCCGUUGACUCUGGUCGACCGUCGGAGGGUCCUUGGACCCUUUGGCCUGUGCCCGUCGAUGGCCCCUAAUAAAACUCUUGAUGAAAUGUGUCGUCUGAGUAACAAAACAAAAUUAAAUAA
rnacentral:misc_RNA from 1 species